AUUUUUUUUACUAAAAAAUGUUUUCCUCCAUAUUCAUUCUGUAUUCUGUUUAUACCAAAAAAGAUUCCCCAAAUCUUCAACGAAGUUUAGCAUUAAGCUCAUACAAAUUUUGAAGUUCUGCCUUCCGAUCUAGAUUGCAACAAACUAGAAGUUCUCAUCCCCUUCUGAUUCUCUCUCAUCUCACUCUCGUUCUUCCUCUCGCUCUUGAUCUUUCUCUUCCUCCUCGUUCUCCCACUGUCCUCUAGCUCUCAAGGCUUACGAGCAGACCGGUCAGCUCCCCGAUCCGGCUUCCACCGACAAUGCGGAGUUUCAGCUCGUGCUUACCAUUAUCAGGGAUGGGUUGAAGACCGAUCCCAAGAGGUACCACAAGAUGAAAGAGAGGCUCGUUGGUGUCUCCGAAGAAACCACCACUGGUGUCAAGAAACUCUACCAGAUGCAGGCCAAUGUCACCCUCUUUUUCCCUGCUAUCAAUGUCAAUGACUCUGUCACCAAGAGCAAGUGGCAGAGUGGCAGUUGGGCAUGCCUUUGAUCUCCCGGUGUACUUUGGAGAUGCUGGUAGUCGAGAGGUUUUCCAAAGACCUUGGAACCAAGUCUUCAACUAGCAGCUGUUGUGCUUUCUCCGGAGCGAACCACAAGAAGAUUAUCAGGGCUGUUCAAUUACAAUACCAUUACCCCAGGUGCGACAGAGUAGAUAACACUUCAAAGGACUAGGAUGUGCAUAGUUACACGAAAGACAAUUUUUUUGUAUCGACAUUCCAUAGCAAUAUUCUUAAUAGUUUUGUUUGCCAAUUAUUUCCCUUAUGCAAUGUUAGUAGAAAAUUUGAUUAGCUUAUAUGAACUUAAACCUUG